AUUGAACGCUGGCGGAAUGCUUUACACAUGCAAGUCGAACGAUUCUCUUCGGAGAAGAGCGGCGGACGGGUGAGUAACGCGUGGGUAACCUGCCCUGUACACACGGAUAACAUACCGAAAGGUAUGCUAAUACGGGAUAAAAUGUUUUGAUCGCAUGGUCGAAAUAUCAAAGCUCCGGCGGUACAGGAUGGACCCACGUCUGAUUAGCUAGUUGGUGAGGUAAUGGCUUACCAAGGCGACGAUCAGUAGCCGACCUGAGAGGGUGAUCGGCCACAUUGGAACUGAGACACGGUCCAAACUCCUACGGGAGGCAGCAGUGGGGAAUAUUGCACAAUGGGCGAAAGCCUGAUGCAGCAACGCCGCGUGAGCGAUGAAGGCCUUCGGGUCGUAAAGCUCUGUCCUCAAGGAAGAUAAUGACGGUACUUGAGGAGGAAGCCCCGGCUAACUACGUGCCAGCAGCCGCCGUAA
rnacentral:rRNA from 1 species